GAUGAACGCUAGCGGGAGGCCUAACACAUGCAAGCCGAGCGGUAGAGUCUCUUCGGAGACUUGAGAGCGGCGCACGGGUGCGGAACACGUGUGCAACCUGCCUUUAUCUGGAGGAUAGCCUUUCGAAGGGAAGAUUAAUACCCCAUAAUAUACUGGAUGGCAUCAUCUGGUAUUGAAAACUCCGGUGGAUAGAGAUGGGCACGCGCAAGAUUAGAUAGUUGGUGAGGUAACGGCUCACCAAGUCAGCGAUCUUUAGGGGGCCUGAGAGGGUGAUCCCCCACACUGGUACUGAGACACGGACCAGACUCCUACGGGAGGCAGCAGUGAGGAAUAUUGGACAAUGGGUGAGAGCCUGAUCCAGCCAUCCCGCGUGAAGGACGACGGCCCUAUGGGUUGUAAACUUCUUUUGUAUAGGGAUAAACCUAGAUACGUGUAUCUAGCUGAAGGUACUAUACGAAUAAGCACCGGCUAACUCCGUG
rnacentral:rRNA from 1 species